GAUGAACGCUGGCGGCGUGCCUAAUACAUGCAAGUCGAGCGAACAGAUGAGGAGCUUGCUCCUCUGACGUUGGCGGCGGACGGGUGAGUAACACGUGGAUAACCUACCUAUAAGACUGGGAUAACUUCGGGAAACCGGAGCUAAUACCGGAUAAUAUAUUGAACCGCAUGGUUCAAUAGUGAAAGACGGUUUUGCUGUCACUUAUAGAUGGAUCCGCGCCGCAUUAGCUAGUUGGUAAGGUAACGGCUAACCAAGGCAACGGUGCGUAGCCGACCUGAGAGGGUGAUCCGCCACACUGGAACUGAGACACGGUCCAGACUCCUACGGGAGGCAGCAGUAGGGAAUCUUCCGCAAUGGGCGAAAGCCUGACGGAGCAACGCCGCGUGAGUGAUGAAGGUCUUCGGAUCGUAAAACUCUGUUAUUAGGGAAGAACAAAUGUGUAAGUAACUAUGCACGUCUUGACGGUACCUAAUCAGAAAGCCACGGCUAACUACGUG
rnacentral:rRNA from 1 species